rnacentral:lncRNA from 1 species
AAAACGGAUUCAGUGAAGGAAAAGGAGGAGGGUGAUACAAAGAGAGCAGAGUUGUAGGCAGCGACGGAUGGCGGAUGUGAGGGGGGUUUUCAAAAUUUAGUGGGUGAAGUAGAUGAGCUGAAAACUACCGCAAUUAACUACUAACGCUGACACACAUCUAACUUCCGCAAGUCCUCUUAACACAUCGUAUUAAUUUUACCUGGGAUUGUGGGGUUCAACUAUGGUGCCACAUUUGUAUGGUACCACAGCUGGAUCUAGUCAUUGGAUCUAAUUCUGGUGACAACUGUGAGUUAGAUUCAAUGGUUGGAUCCAGCUGUAGUACCAUACAACUAUGGUACCAUAGGUUUGUCCGGGAUUAUGUUUUUGGAUUUUUUUUUUUAGAGACGUGUCAAGGCCAAAUUGCGGACAUGAGUGCACGCGUGCGGUGAUAUGAAAUUUUCGUUAAUGGGAGUCACAUAUUUGAAACUUUCCCAAAGAUCUAAAUGAUCUGUAGAUUACCAAUUCACAUUUGAUCAUGAUUCAUGUGAUCUGAACAAUCACUAAUACGAAGCUAAGCCGGAGAGUUGGCUUAGUCCACGAGUGAUAAAAGCAAAAUGUAGCUUUAAAAUUGAAAUUAGAGAGUGCUCUAUGUUGCGGACCACCUAAGUUCCUAGUCCAAUUGCCCACAAUUUCAGGCCAAGAGCGCAAGACAAGGGUAAGAGUGCUAACUUGGCCCGAUUUCAAAAAUUUUUAGACAAUUCUAGCACAUUUGAGCUUAUAAAUAUCUAGAAUGCUCCACACAAUUCCAGCACAUGUAAAUAUCUAAAAUUUUAGGCAAGUUGGUAGAAUUCUCUAGAAUUGUAGAGCAUGGCAAGCCUCCCUUAUAAAUAGGGCAUGACAUUUAGUAUUUGAAUAAUAAACUUAGAGCAAGCAACUCAAACACUUAUAAGCUCUCUUGUAAAUACUAUUUGAGUAAUACAAUUUCUCUUAUUCGGUUUCAUUGCUCUCUUCUUGUUAACUCUUCGAAAACCUCUAAGGUUAACUAGUCGAGAAGGUCAAGGCUUACUUAGAAACAUUUGACAAAGAUUAUUUAAGUGUCGCACAGAUUCGUUGUGCAAAACACUUAUACUGUGACAUCUAGCUUACUAAAUUACUGAGCAUUUAUAUCACUCGCUGUAAUUAGUGGUAAAUUAGCGGAUUAAUAAAAUAUUGAGUAUUGCUCACUAUUUUUCCAGGAACGUCAAAAGAACUAAAAUUUGAAACAUAAAUUGCUCAGCAGUGACUUAUGUUUUACAUCUCUUUUUUUAGGGCACAACUGCUGAUGUUGCAAAUCGCGAAUGAUAUUAAGACAAGAAUGUUUAAACGAAUGCCUAUAGUUAUAGGCAUUAAAUGAUAAUGUUAUUCGAGCAACAUGACAAACAAAAAUUUUGAGAACGUUGUAUUGUUGGCGAUACCACCAACUCAUAAAUCUUGUAUUGUUGGCGAUACUACCAACUCAUAAAUCAACAUCCCAAUUUUUUUUUUUUUAAAAAAAUUAUAUGCCCUAUGCAAUUAAUUCACGCAGUUGCAUGUGUGGAGAAAAGUACAGCAUUGAAGAGUAAAUCAAUAAUUAGUGGCGGCAGAAGAAAGCGGGCCAGGUUCGGGUCACACGGACUCGGGUUUCUGUUGUGGGGAUCCGAGAAUAAACUCAUACCUUCAAUGCUGUACUUUUGUUGCCUUGCUGUUGCCAGUGAAUUGGUGGUAUAAGGGGUGUCCGUAGCAUGACUCUUAUGAAAAGCAGAGGAUUUAGUUUUAGACCCUGAAUGCGGCCCACAGGUUCUAAAGACUUGGGCAAAAAUAUUAAUAUAUACAAGUGAUUUUUUAUUUGAAAAUUUACGCACUAUCAUUGCAGACUUGCACUACUAAAUUUUGAACGUAAAAAGUUAGAUUUGAAAUUUAACGAGUUAGGAGGAGAUUAACUUUGAAGCACUUGAAAUUUGUAUCACCCCCAAUUCAAAUGUAAGCAUGCUGAAAUAAAAACAUACACAAUAACUAUGAUUUUUCCUACAAGGAGUAGAUUACCAUGCCAAGCCACUCAUUAAAUUGGGGUGCAUAUGCGUAUGAAACAAAAAAGCUGCAAAUUCAAGUAUCUGAAUUUUACAAUAUACUAAUUAAUUAACCUUUGCUCUCCUGGACUCCUUCUCAUUGAAUAUACAAUAUACUAAUUAAUUAAUUUUACAAUAUACAUUGAAUCGCCAUUGCAUCUGUCAGCGCCUGUAAUAUGAACCAUUGCAAAGCAUGAAGCCAGCAGGGCAAGUAAAGAUGGUCAUAGCCUAUCCAUCUAAUGCUUGCUUUACUAUACGUCUCUGCCGAUGGAAUGAAGAAGGUAGAUCUCUUGAAUUUUGUCAUCUUCGUUGCAACAAAUAAUGGAAUUUGUAUAAUAUAUACAAUAAUCAAACGUAAAAUAAAUAACGAGGCUCUGAUUGUUUCAACUUACUAUAAAGUAGUCUAAUUGCAAAAAAAAUUUUGUAAGCAUUUGUAGAUUUAACUUUGAUAACACGACUGAUUAUUUUUCAUCAUUACUUUACACAUGUAAUAGUGUUAAUCAACUACCCAUCAAUUUUUUUUUCUUUACAGUUCGAGCUGAUAUUUCAUAGCAAUUGUGAUUUAAAUGCUAGUUGUGAAGUCUAAAUGGAACCCUAAUUUGGGGACAAAGAAUCAUAUAUGGCAUUGAACAUCAAAUCUUUCUAAAAAAUUUACCCAAAUAACUGCUUUACACUUUUCAAUUACUCAAAUAACCAUAGAAUAACCACUUUGUGAUUACACAAAUAACCACUUUGCAAGCAAUGGGGGCGAUGGCUCAAUCGCAUGUAACCAACCAAUGAGGAACCAACUAAGCUCUUUUAAAGAUAAUUUAGUCGAAAAUGUGUAUAAGUGGUUAUUUUGAUAAAAAAAUUUAUUUUAUGAUUAAUGUUGAUAAUAAUUUUAUGAAAAUUAGUAGAUAAGUAAAUUUCUUGUUAACAUAGGCACGUUUGUUGAUAAUCUAGUUUAGAAAAAUUAGCCCAGCCCACAUAUCGAUUAGGUUAGAGGUCGUAAUAAGCCUAUUAUAAUUGUGGGAGCCCAAAGAUGAGAGUGGGCAGUUCCUAAGCAAGACUAGGGGUGGGCAAAUCGAAUAUCAGUUUGGAUUGUUCGGGUUUCGGUUUGGGUUACGACUCGAUCGGGUUGGAGAAUUAAUCCCAAUCGAGUUGAAAAUGCGAACCCGAACCAAACUGAACCGAUCGAUUUAGUUAAAGUUCAUCAUUCAUAUCAUAUUGGGUUGAUAAUUCAGGUUCAAAUUUCAGUUUGAGUUAGUUCGGGUUAGAAUUGUUCAAUCUAAAUUCCGACUAAUUCGGGUUGGAUCAGCUCAUUCCAAAAAUUUUUGCCACAAACCACCUAAGAUUCCAAAAUCUAAAAUCCAAACAUCAAAUUAAAGUAACUUAAUAGGAAUGAUUUGAUUUAGAGUUGAAGAGCAGACAAAGUAACAAAUAUCGAAAGGUGUAAAAUGUAACCUUCACAAAUUACAAAUGGCUCUUCAGUUGAUCUCCUUUGUCCAGGUUCAGGAAGUAAAUAAGGAUUUGAGUACUCAACCUUCAAGAAUGUUUUUAUAAGGUAUACCAAUAAGGAUUUACAACAUCACACAUUUUCUAUCCACCGAAACUUCUUGUGCUUUGACUUGCAACAAAAUUAUCCAACCCAAAUCUCACCUAUCCAGGAUAAAAAAAAAUUAGGCAAAAAAAAAAAAAAAGACACAAUUUAGGACCCAUUUGUUUCCAUUUCAAACACUGCUUUUGCCCACAAGACGGAAAAUAGUAGAACAUGCAAUCAUACAAUACUUGGAGAACAUGAUUUAAUGUUGACGAGAUUCCUGCCUGGACUGGGUGUAAGAAAUGAGCAAAACGUUGAUGAAGUAGACAGUAAUAUAAGGGAAAGUGGAGAAGAAACAGAAGGUGGAUUUGCCUAGAGCUGGACGGUUGCGGCUGCAGCUGCCACCGUUGUGGGUCUUGUAGUUAGGGAUUUGGAAUUGGGUUUGAGCGUGCUGAGGGUAAGGAGUUGGGGGUAACGCGUAAUCGGCAAAUGAGAGAGUGAUUUUUUUUCUUAUAGAUAUAUUUUUAAUUCCUAGCGAGUUGUAUAUGAUUAACUCAAACCGAACUGAACCCGAAAUCCGAACGCCCAUCCAUGUCAAAUGAAAAUACAAACAAACUUAUACAAAUUCUGCAUUCGUAAAUAAACCGAUUACUUGGUAAAAUUAAAUAUGUUGAGUAUCAUGUUGGUUGAAAAUCAUUUUGCAGUGAAAAUAUCUAGAUCACAAUUCUUAUACAAUAUAUAAAAUUAUUAUAAUUUUGGAAUUAUACCUUUACUUUUUCGUAAAAGUAAUUUAGGCUCUCAAAUCAUGAUUCAUCAUCACUAAUCUUAUCAAAUCACGAUCUAUCACUAACGAUCUUAUUAGAUCACGAUUUAUGACCAACGAUCUUUUAAGUUAUGACUCAAAUUUGAUCUACAAGUUAUAACUCAAGUUCAAUCUACACUUAACGUGUCGACGCUUUUAUUAGUAGUAGAAAAAAUUUUCUCUCAAAACUAGAAGAAAAUUUUUCUUUCUACAUUCUGUAUGUUGUGGCUUCUAUGUUCUUUUGUAAAAGAACAAGCCCUAUUUAUAUCUAUUAGAGGAAAUCCUAGGCUCCUCAUUAUCUUCUUAGUUCUAUUAACUUAAAAAUAUUUGAUUUGAAUUAAAAUAUAUAAAGCCAAAAGUGGUGUUAUACUUGUUUUUGAUAUAGGGACUUGCCUUAUAAAAUAAUAUAAGGCCCCUUAUAUACAAUUAAAUUAAAUAGAGUUUCUCACCAAAUAAUAUAUUUAGAGUUUUAACCCAAAUUACCAGCUAUUUUGUUUAUCAAUCUAGUAGUUGUGUAAUCAAUUAAAUGAACUAACUUGGGGAUCAUAUACGUACAUAAAAUAGUGGCUACAAUAAUUAGGCAUGUAAUUAAAUUAGUCUGAUUAUUUAAUUUCAUAUCUACUCUAUUAAAAUAUUAGAACUGACCUCCAUAAUUAUAUGCUAUCGAAGAUAUUGUUCUUCAAACAUGCCUUAUUGUUUUCUUUACUAAACAAUCAUUUAUACCACAUCAUCAAUUAAAUUGAUAUAUCAAUUGUCCAAUCAAUUUAAGUAUAUAUUGUUCCUUGACACUUACUAAUUUUCUUUAAUGAUCAUUUUCAACAUACUAAUAAUAUUGGCACACUCUGGCAAGAGAGUUCUAUAAUUAAGUACCGAAAACAUGUCAAGAGAUGUAUUGUACAAAUUCUAUAUUGUUAAUCUAUAAUCUCACUACUUAUAAUUGCUUCCACUGAUAUAUCGGGUAAUAUUGACUAUAAAUGUAUGUCACACACAUGGGUAACUCAAAUGAAAUGACAAUCACAAAUAUGAAACUAUAGUCAACUCAAGAUUGAGAUGUAAAAAAAUCAAUGUCUAUGUGAUUUAAUAAGUUUGUCAGUCAUUUCAAGGUUAAUUAAAUCUCAUAUAUAAUCCAAUUCAAUGUAAUCAAAUUAUAUCAGUAAAUUUAUACAUGAUUAAGACAAAUUUUUCAAUGAAUUUACUACAAUCUAAAUAUAAAUAGAGCACACAACUUUAUUUACCAACUGCGAACUCAAUUUAUUUAGUCAUAAAAUAACUUGUAUUUAUAUUUUGGUUCUUUUGUGAAUCUGUAUAAUGAUCACAUAAAUAUAUAUAAUAUGAAUAAAUAGACUUUAUUAAAAAUAAUUAUGCAAUUAAUAUAUUUGAAAAAUAUCUCAAAUAUUUUAUUAAUCAUAAAAUGUAUUUAUUAUAAAUAAAUAAAUCAAUAUGAUAUGAAUAGCAUAUAAUCCCAACAUAGUAGUGGUAGGAAAUUUUAUUGAUCAAGCUAGACUUUGACGGAGAGCUCAGGUCAGGUCAGAUCAGGUCAGCAUUAAUUCCUCUCCGGCGGAUUCCUAUAGAGAGACGCCAAGCAUCAAGAAGGGAAUCAGGGAGCAAGCGAGCGAAGCACCAUUGUACCGAGUGAGCCCAAUAAGGGGUGCACCGCGGUUCAUACCCAAUGCAGCGAAUUGCAGCUCGUGCAUAAUCUUCUGGCGAUGGUACAAACAGCGUUUGCUUCGUUACCGACGCUACACUGGACGCCAUCUUUGUUGCAACAUAUAACGGUACCUGGCAUAGCAUGCAUACAUUAAUCACCGGGCCCCUUGCGUAAUUAGACUUACGAUCAAAUACCUAAAUCUAUUAAAGUAAGCAUGCAUGCACGCACGCACGGACGGAGCCAGCAUGGGACCAGCUGGGGCUUUUAAUUUUUUUUUUAUAAUUAUAUUAAAAAUUUGUAUUUUAUUCGUUAUUUAUGAAAAAUGUCCCAGCUGAAUUGUAAAAUUUGAAAGUGACUCUAGUAAUUUUAAAAUAUUUCAUAUUGUCCCUAGUUUAAAUGUCUAAUUCUAAAUAAUUUAAUUAGUUAUUAACAUUUCAUGAAACUCAAUUAAAGACACGAGAACAAAUAUUAAAAAAAAUCAUAACAAAAUGUUAGUAUAAUGGUUAAUGGACUAGUUUUUAAUCUUUUUGUUUUCUAUUCAAGCAAAAUCAAUUAUUUGGUCUUUCAACAUUGACCCAUAAGUUGUAAGUCUACCUAAGUUGUAAAUCUACCUAAUUCUAACUUUUAAUUUUUUUGAUUAAUCUUUUGUCUAGUUUUAAAAUCUAUAAUUUUAUCAUGCAUUCAUGUUUGCUCUAUGUGUUGCAAUAUAUGAAUAUUUUUAUUAGUAUUAAAAGAUUUUAAGAGUAAAUUAAGUAAUAACCUAGUCUUGUAUAUUGAAAAAUAUAUUUUUGCUUAUAUUGAUAAUGAAACUAUCAUAAAUUAUUUUCAACUCAUAAAAUCUCAUUGAAGAGUUUUCAACUAGAACAAUUGUAAUAAGUAAAUUUAUUAUCAAUGAAUAUUAUAGUUGUAAUGUUAUAUAUUGUUAUCUAAAUUUUUAGAAGUGUAUUAUACUUUAAAUAGGGUUUCAAUUAGAUGUAUGCAGACGCACUCUAUAAGGAGCACGAUUGUGCAUGUGGCAAGCUCCCAUUUGGAGUUUGUGGGGACCCACAACACAGUUUCCCAAAUGAAAACUUACCACACGUGCGGUUACGCAUUCGAGUCAUCUUUAAUUUUAAAUGUGCCCUAGCUCGAUCAAAAUCAUGGCUACUUCCCUGCAUGCAUGCACGACAACGUUGGUUUAAUUAAUUUGCUGCAUUGCACAUAUUACCUGACACUGCACAUCAAUUCCAAAUCUUUGGUAUUCCACAUACAGUGAUCUCGAGAGUUGAUCGAUGUACCUGGAUGCGUAAGAAAUUGAGAAUCACCUCAUCCUCAUGCAGCUUAAGAAAACGAAUUUGUACAUAUGACAAGAUCAAUCUAACAAAAGCAAUGAUCGAUGUAUACGACAGAAAUUGGGUACUUGAGCCACGUUGAAUCGACAAGAGUGAAGGUUUUGUUUCUCUAUAUUGUUGUUUCUCAUGUGGCGUUACCUAAUCCUUGUACGUAGGGGGAGGAACGCCAUAUCAUUUUUAUAUACCUUAAUGCUCACGAGGCCUGUCCCAUAACUUAUAGAAAUGCUACCUACUCCUUCGAAAAUUUUGUCGGCAAUAACUCUUUUUACCAUCAAUUUCUUUUUUCCAAAUUAAAUUAAUAGCUAAAAUUGAGAUAUGAUUCUCACAAAAUUACCAAAAUGUAUUUAGUAUUUGAAAACAAUUUGUUUAUUUCAUUCACACAUCUGGUUUAGUAUUAAGAAAAAGGCAUACAGUCUUGUCUGAUCACUUAAAAAGGUAAGAAAACUCAAUUAAGGAGUUGGGGAAUAUAUAUUCUAGACUUCAUGAAGAAAAUAGUGCUUUCUAGAUCUACAAAUGUAGUUAAAUAAUUUAUAACAAAAAAAAAAAAGUGAAUAAAGUUGAAAUCAAAUUUUGAGUUCCUACUUCUUCUAUAAUCUGAACUCAAAUAAUGAUUAAAAAAACCUUAAAAAUCACUUCGAUAUUCUUAUGUAAUUAAUUCUUAGUGUUAUUCAAAACUGUCUGCAGUGUCAGAAAUCUAUUAAUGCGAAACAUUUUUUUGGAGGUAUGCUAAAAAGCAGACGUAUAAAGAAUUAGUAGUGCUUACGCUUUUGUAGCAGCAUAGAUAGCAAAAAGAGGAUGUGAAGGCACAACAAUGGCAGCACCAGAACCAAUAUUAACAAUAGCACCUUUCUUCCUCCUCAUCAUCCCUGUUAAAACUGCUUUGGUGACCCUAGUUGUGCCCUCCAGAUUAACCCUAACAAUAUCCAUCCACUCUUUCUCAUCAACCUCAUGAAAAAACAUGGCUUUGGGGUAUGUAAUUCCCACGUUGUUGAUCAAAACACCAACUUCAAGCCCAUCAAUGGCCAUCUCUAUCGCCUUAAUAUUACCGGCUGAAACGACGUCGCAAGAGAAAUCAUACUCGACAAUGUUGAUCUGGGUGUUGGGAUUUUCGGCCUGGAUUUCGUUUGAGAUUUUCUCGAGCUUGUUGUGGUUUCUGCUGACUAAGAUUAGGUUUAGGCCGUGCUGUGCUAGUUGAUGAGCAAAUGCUUUGCCAAUGCCGUCAGUGGCGCCAGUGAUGAGAGCCCAAGAACCAUAGCUCUUGAGGUUUUUGGGUUGUCUUAGAAAUGUGAUGUAGAUACAUUUUAGAAGAGACAUCGAGUGUUUGAGGAGGAUGAUGAAACCGAGUGCACUUACUGGAAGAACAACUAGCCAUGGUUGCUGCUGCUGCCGCCGGGAUAUUGUGAUAAGUUGAUUGAUGAAAUUAAUAAUUGGUGACAUUUUUCCGAAACUGGUAGGAUGCUUAACAUUGCUUGUUCCUUCCCUUCAGCUUAAUUUUAGAAGAGCUGGGCUGUCUUAAAUUACUCUUUCUCAACAACUUUGUUUUAAAUAUUUUGUACCAUCACCGUCAGAUUUAAUUCUGCAGCGUGGGAAUAUUUUGACCCACGUAACACAAGUGAAGCCAUCAAAUUAAAGGGUUAGGUUCGUUGGAAUUAUUUUAAGAUAAAAUAUAUUUUUAUAAUCACACGAUUAAAAUUAUAAUUAAUUUUUUAUUAUUUAUUAUUUUAGGUGUGUAGUUAAAAUUUAUAUUUUAUCGUAAAUAUAAUUUAACAUAAUCAUACCAAAAUUAAAUUGAACAAAGUGAAAUUAAGAAGAAAAAUGGUUAAUGUAGGAGCGUUAGUAAGAAGUACAGGGAGGAAAUAAUUUUCUUGGAACUGGAAACUACUCAUGAAAUCUGCACAGUACACAACGAUCCAUAAAUAACAAAAAAGAGUCCCAAAAAGAGCAAGCGAUCGAUACCGUAGCCUAGGUAGCUUGUUGGCUUUUUAUUGGGUUUUGGCCACCUCAACCUCGUGCGUUUCAGAAGAAAUGUAAGUUUAAAUUUACUCUCAUCUGCCUAACUGUUCAUAACUCUGCUUGAGCGAAGCGUGAAGCAUUUAUCUACUCAACAACCCCAUCAGGCUGCAUGUCCUCUGCAUUCGUAGCCAGUAAAUUGAUAACACGUCACCAAUAUUUGAUCAAACAAUUAAGUGACUGCAUUUCCCGAGAAACAGCAGAGAACUCACGGUCCCUGUUCCAAUCCCAAUCCCAAUCCCAAUGCCAGUCCCGGCAGCAUUAAAGUUCGAUGGUUUAGUGUGACAUGCACGGCUUUUGGUAGUAAUCGAAACACGUCUUGCAAUUGUUUUGGCUCCAUAUCCAUAUCAAGACAUUCAAGGCCAACAAACACUAAACAAGACUCUUUAAACUGGCAAAUCAACCAAAGGUAAAACUUCUAUCUAUGUUUGCAAGCAUCCAUGUCUACGGGCUCCAGCAAGAAGAUAUUAAUUCUUUCAAGUCACUUCAACAAUCAUGGGAAUGCCGUGGGAAGAAAAUUAAAUUAAAAUGGCAUGGGUGAUAAGAAAUUCCAUUAUGUCACCAAUGAAACAUUACAACAAAAUUGGCAACAAUGUUUGCACCAAAUCAAACAGUACAAGUGCCUUGCUCGAUUUUGAUCUCCAGUUUCAUCGUGGCACCACCAUCCCAGUAACAAUUUCGUGUGGAUUUCUUCGUUGUGUCUGAACAAAAAUGUAACGCAUACAUUGUAUUUCCAUCUGUUCUAUCUUUCAGGUUCUAGUAAACUAUUGUGUCUAGAGUCAAAGAGUAAAGCUUCAAAAUACUUGACAAAUAUGUACCAAAUAUGUGUCUAGAGUCAAGAGUGAGAUUUUCUGGUAACCACCAUAAAUAUAAAUUCUUGGUACUUCAUGGGUCUAAAUCAUGACUACUAUGUUCUGAGCCCUUGGAAAACUGUUCGUCGUGAAAGGGAUCAUCAGCACAAUGUACAGAACUCCACCUAGGAGAGAAAUUCCAGCCCAUCUGUUCCAGCUCAUGGCCAGUUGCUCUCAUGCUGGCUUCUUCUUUUAACUUGAUGAAGAACAUGGAUGACCAGUAAUCUUUUGCCAAGUUCUUCAUGAUAAUAAAGAAAACUUUAGAGAUAAAUUUGAUGUGGGAAUCCAUAAUAAAAGUAAAACUUAGUAAACAACUGACCAUUUUCACCAGCUGCAUUAGCUCAUUUAUGGCGUUAUUAAAGAGAUCAGGGCGUGCUAGAUUGGAAGUAGUUAAAAUUUCUUGCCGGGUUCGAUGAGAUAUAUUCACCUCCAUUGAAGCACCUGUGGCAUGCAAAAUUGAGCGACAUAUCAAACUUCCCCCACCAAAAAAAGGGUAGAAGAAAAAUGAAAAAGGUAUCCCUGAAGGUAAACAAGAUAUGUGGGAACUGCUGAGCACCAAGAACCAAAACAAACCAAAUCAUUAUAGUCCUGAACAUUAGGUUAGAGCACAAAAAUCUAUAGCAGACCAUAAAGCAUGAAUUUACUAAUACCAAAGAGGAUUCUCAACAGUUAUAUUUGUCGCUCAGAAACUUGAGAAGGUAUCACCUUGUUCUUCGCAAUGAGAACUAAGACUGAAGGUAAUGCAUAAGAAGUAAUUGAUUAAUGUUCAGCUCAAACCUCCAGAAAAUAAGUCACAAACCUGCAACAAUGUACUUCUCAAUAAUAUGCCGUGCCAUGUAAAUCCUUCUGACAUGAUCGUCUACUGGAAUUUUUCCAUGUUCAUGCACUUCCUCAAAGAAAUGAACACUCUCUCCUGCCAAACAACUAAAAUCAAGAGGAAAACAGAGACACCUAAAUCAAACACCAAACUAGUGUACUUAUCAUUAUCUCCAGUUGUUUCUAAACAAAAGUGAGCCUGGAGAAAUUUUGCCAAAAAAGUAAAUCACAAUAUAUGAAGCUGGAAGAUAUCAUCAGCCCUCUAAGUUGUAUAUAGUAAUAGUAUCACUAAAUAAAUUUCCUCAAAAGAAUUUUGCAGAAAAUAAAUUCCAAAGUGGUGGAGCUUGGAAAGGAAUAGAAUACCUGUCAGCAAAUGCCAUAAAGGACUGCCUGAACUUCUUGUUGAGAAGAAGCUUAUCCAGUGGUUCGUUAGGAUCUAUGACAGGAGUAGGUUCUCUUCGCAAUAGCAGUCCGCUAUCAGGUAUUCCCAGAGCCUGACCCAUUGUUUCAAAUUCUUUAGGUUCCCUUUUCCUUAAGCUGAUUUGCGAAAGUAGAGGCUCUGAACUUGAUAUAGAGAAAAAAACCACUACAAGAAUGCCUCCCUGCAGAAAACCUGAAAAUUAUAAGCAAAACUACAGAUAUGCCGGAACGCUAGAAUUUUCAAUGACUGCAGGUGCUUUACAGAUGCAAAGAACAAAUCUAUUACAAAUCAUACCAUAACCAACAGCAGGAACCUGGAUGCAACUUGAAGCCAUGAGAUAUCAUCAUGAAUUUCAUUCAAAAGGUAGGCAAAAACCCAUAAACCUGAAAGCACAAGAGGGCACAAGUUAAUAAAGGCAUGCCAACAAGAAGACAUAGCGGGUUAAAAUAACAUGCUAGUAUCAAUUAUCUGUGUUGGCUAAUUAUCAUAAUUCACAUGUAAAUACUUUCCCUACAACCAGAGAUAAUACCUCAAAAAAUGCGUUUGAUAACCAGAGAAAAUUUGUCAAAACCUAUAACUAUAUAAGUAAGGCCAACUAUUAAAGAUGGUUAAAAUUUUCAUUCCACAACCACUUGAUUGAUUUGGACAGAUGUGCUUGCCAGAUGACUUAAGAUUUAAAAAGCAUGAGAUCAUCAUCUGACAACAGCAACAAAUCAAACGCAAAAGUUUAAAAAGUAAAAAAAAUGAAAACCAAUUACUCAGCACUGUAUAAAACCUAGAAGAAAGUGUACCAAUAGAUGAGGCUGAAACUAUUAUUCCCUGCCAGAGGUCCCUUAGUUCAUCAAACCUAAACUCUAUAUGCCGAAUUGCUGCCAUGAAUCCAACCAAAGAGGCAACAUAUACUACAUGGAGGAACAAGAAUGGAAUGAUCCAAUGAACUCUCAUGUGGCACCGAUCGUUGAGAGGCCUCAUCACUUGGAUAACUACAGAAUAAAUAAUCCUUCCUGUUAGGAACAAGAAAUUAUAAUGGAGAUAAAGAAAAUGGCAUCAUCAACAAUAAUUUCAAAAACUAAAAACAGGCUUUUGACUAAAACAAUUAAAAUUAUCCACUCAUACAAACCAGGAAGAAUUCAAAAUACUGCAUGACCUAUUGAUACAUUAUAGUGCAGUCACAAGAAUACGAGUCACUGUGUCAUUAAGGUUGGACCAGAAAACAUAGAGAAAUUAAUAGAUGGUCAAAGAAUUUUGAAAAAGGAUUAAGACCUUUAUUAAACAUUCUUAGUAGAGGGAGGCUAAGGUGGAUAUACAUGCUGAAAAACAAUCCAACAAUAGACAGCCAAUGCCUACACUAGGAAAAUAAAAGGGGAAAGGUAAGAAAUAGAAAAAAGAUC